rnacentral:lncRNA from 1 species
UUACAUGAAUAUUACAAUUUAAAAUACUUGUUUUCUAUUGUAUUUUAUUUCCAAAUUGAAUUCAUUCCUGUGAUCAAAGCUGAAUUUUCAGCAUCAUUCAUCAUCAUCUUCUUAUAAUAUUCUUACAUUGAAAACAUUUUUGUUGCUUAACAUUUGGAAUAUACUGAAUGCAAAUUGUGAUUCCUUGAUGAAUAUAAAGUUCAAAAGAAUAGCAUUUAUUUGAAAUGUACUGUCCCUUUUAAUCAGUUUAAUGCAUCAUUGCUGGGGGUGCUGGGGAAAUCUUUCCAUUCAGCUUAGAAUACUGUCUUGGAAAGUAGUUGCUUAUUUGGUAGCGAACUAGGUUUUGUAACAGAGCUAACAGUCUGCAAUAGUGAAAUCUUCAUCAUAAACUCAUCUGAUAUACUGUGCUUCAUUCCAUAAGUGUAAGAUUUUUAAAAGAAGAAAAAAAGUCAUAAAAGAGGGAACAUGCAUGGUGUAUAGAAAAGGUGAGAAAGAGACAGAGACAGAGACAGAGAUAGGUUUGUGGGCCACAUGCCUAAUGAAGGAAGCAGGCAGAAAAGUCUUACAGUCCAGCUUGGCCCAGAGGUGAUCCACGUCCCAAACCAUCCCUGGCCAACGCCUGCCUGCUGUCAUGGGUGAGAUGGUGGCGAAACAUGGAGCAGCGUCAUAGACUGUAACCCACACAACAGCUCAAGGCCCCAGGCCUGUCUGAACUCUCUUCUAUGGGCCUGGACCAUGCAUUUAUGAGGGAAUCUAUGGCUCUGUUCCAAAACCCUGUGAGCAGCUUCUUAUACCUGUCUCUAUAAGAAGUUAUCUCCUAAAAGCACUUUGUGCUGAAGCCACAGCAAAUAUUCAUAACUUUAUUUGUAAAUUAGAAAAUAAUACGAAGAAUUUUAUGCUUAAGCAAAUUCGUCCUGGGACUGAUUGCGGGACCGAUCCCGGGUUGAGGACCUAGUAACACCGACGGAUUCAGUCCUGGAACGAGCUCUGUGUGAACAAAAGCUAGAACCAAUGCCGUAAAGGGUGUGUUGUAGUGAUGACGCAUGUUAUCGUGCGACUCUUUUACCAGGUUUUUUGAAGGCAGAUCAACAUUUGAUCAACAAAAAAAAAAGUGCAAACUGUAAUGAAGCAGAAAUCAGUUAGUUCCUCACUAUCCGCGCUGAAGUUGCGAUCGUUCCCCAGCUUAAGUGAAACAGAACGCGUCACAUUACACGUCACAUCGUAAUGUCACUUGUCUUUAAGGGAUGUGUGUGAACACACACACAGAUUCUGGAAAUCACUGGCAGUGUGUAUGAACCACAAUCAAAUGAUCCUGGGACA